rnacentral:rRNA from 1 species
UACGUAGGGUGCAAGCGUUGUCCGGAAUUAUUGGGCGUAAAGAGCUCGUAGGCGGUUUGUCGCGUCUGCUGUGAAAACCUAAGGCUCAACCUUGGGCUUGCAGUGGGUACGGGCAGACUAGAGUGCGGUAGGGGUGACUGGAAUUCCUGGUGUAGCGGUGGAAUGCGCAGAUAUCAGGAGGAACACCGAUGGCGAAGGCAGAUCUCUGGGCCGUAACUGACGCUGAGGAGCGGAAAGCAUGGGGAGCGAACAGG